rnacentral:rRNA from 1 species
UUAAAUUGAAGAGUUUGAUCAUGGCUCAGAUUGAACGCUGGCGGCAGGCCUAACACAUGCAAGUCGAACGGUAACAGAAAGCAGCUUGCUGCUUUGCUGACGAGUGGCGGACGGGUGAGUAAUGUCUGGGAAACUGCCUGAUGGAGGGGGAUAACUACUGGAAACGGUAGCUAAUACCGCAUAACGUCGCAAGACCAAAGAGGGGGACCUUCGGGCCUCUUGCCAUCGGAUGUGCCCAGAUGGGAUUAGCUUGUUGGUGGGGUAACGGCUCACCAAGGCGACGAUCUCUAGCUGGUCUGAGAGGAUGACCAGCCACACUGGAACUGAGACACGGUCCAGACUCCUACGGGAGGCAGCAGUGGGGAAUAUUGCACAAUGGGCGCAAGCCUGAUGCAGCCAUGCCGCGUGUAUGAAGAAGGCCUUCGGGUUGUAAAGUACUUUCAGCGGGGAGGAAGGGAGUAAAGUUAAU